UACGAAGGGUGCUAGCGUUGUUCGGAAUCACUGGGCGUAAAGCGCGCGUAGGCGGCGACUCAAGUCAGAGGUGAAAGCCCGUGGCUCAACCACGGAAUUGCCCUUGAAACUGUGUUGCUAGAGUGUCGGAGGGGAUAGCGGAAUUGCUAAUGUAGAGGUGAAAUUCGUAGAUAUUAGCAGGAACACCGGUGGCGAAGGCGGCUAUCUGGACGACAACUGACGCUGAGGCGCGAAAGCGCGGGGAUCAAACAGG
rnacentral:rRNA from 1 species